rnacentral:rRNA from 1 species
CCUACGGGGGGCAGCAGUGGGGAAUAUUGGACAAUGGGCGAAAGCCUGAUCCAGCCAUGCCGCGUGUGUGAAGAAGGCCUUCGGGUUGUAAAGCACUUUCAGUGGGGAAGAAAGCCUUGGGGCUAAUACCCUCGAGGAAGGACAUCACCCACAGAAGAAGCACCGGCUAACUCCGUGCCAGCAGCCGCGGGAAUACGGAGGGUGCGAGCGUUAAUCGGAAUUACUGGGCGUAAAGCGCGCGUAGGCGGUCUGAUAAGCCGGGUGUGAAAGCCCCGGGCUCAAACUGGGAACGGCAUCCGGAACUGUCAGGCUAGAGUGCAGGAGAGGAAGGUAGAAUUCCCGGUGUAGCGGUGAAAUGCGUAGAGAUCGGGAGGAAUACCAGUGGCGAAGGCGGCCUUCUGGACUGACACUGACGCUGAGGUGCGAAAGCGUGGGUAGCAAACAGGAUUAGAUACCCGGGUAGUC